rnacentral:ncRNA from 1 species
CGUGUGGUGUCUGGACUACAGGAUCAGAUAGCGACACGGCCUACUGACUAGAGGU